rnacentral:rRNA from 1 species
UGGGGAAUAUUGGACAAUGGGGGCAACCCUGAUCCAGCAAUGCCGCGUGUGUGAAGAAGGUCUUCGGAUUGUAAAGCACUUUCGACGGGGACGAUGAUGACGGUACCCGUAGAAGAAGCCCCGGCUAACUUCGUGCCAGCAGCCGCGGUAAUACGAAGGGGGCUAGCGUUGCUCGGAAUGACUGGGCGUAAAGGGCGUGUAGGCGGUUUACACAGUCAGAUGUGAAAUCCCCGGGCUUAACCUGGGAGCUGCAUUUGAUACGUGUAGACUAGAGUGUGAGAGAGGGUUGUGGAAUUCCCAGUGUAGAGGUGAAAUUCGUAG